rnacentral:rRNA from 1 species
GAUGAACGCUGGCGGCGUGCUUAACACAUGCAAGUCGAACGGUGAACGAGGGAGCUUGCUCCCUCCGGAUCAGUGGCGAACGGGUGAGUAACACGUGAGCAAUCUGCCCUGGACUCUGGGAUAAGCGUUGGAAACGACGUCUAAUACCGGAUACGAGGCGUGGGGGCAUCCCCAACGCCUGGAAAGAACUUCGGUCCAGGAUGAGCUCGCGGCCUAUCAGCUAGUUGGUGAGGUAACGGCUCACCAAGGCGACGACGGGUAGCCGGCCUGAGAGGGUGACCGGCCACACUGGGACUGAGACACGGCCCAGACUCCUACGGGAGGCAGCAGUGGGGAAUAUUGCACAAUGGGCGCAAGCCUGAUGCAGCAACGCCGCGUGAGGGACGACGGCCUUCGGGUUGUAAACUGCUUUUCUACGGGAAGAACAAAUGACGGUACCGUAGGAAUAAGGAGCUGCAAACUACGUGCCAGCCGCCGCAGUAA